GCAAGUCGAGCGGUAACAGAUCCAGCUUGCUGGAUGCUGACGAGCGGCGGACGGGUGAGUACUGCAUAGGAAUCUACCCGGUAGUGGGGGAUAACCUGGGGAAACCCAGGCUAAUACCGCAUACGUCCUACGGGAGAAAGGGGGCUUUGGCUCCCGCUAUCGGAUGAGCCUAUGCCGGAUUAGCUGGUUGGUGAGGUAACGGCUCACCAAGGCGACGAUCCGUAGCUGGUCUGAGAGGAUGAUC
rnacentral:rRNA from 1 species